ACGGAAGGCAGCAGUGGGGAAUAUUGCACAAUGGGGGAAACCCUGAUGCAGCGACGCCGCGUGAGUGAAGAAGUAUUUCGGUAUGCAAAGCUCUAUCAGCAGGGAAGAAAAUGACGGUACCUGACUAAGAAGCCCCGGCUAACUACGUGCCAGCAGCCGCGGUAAUACGUAGGGGGCAAGCGUUAUCCGGAUUUACUGGGUGUAAAGGGAGCGUAGACGGCGAUGCAAGUCUGAUGUGAAAGCCCGGGGCUCAACCCCGGCACUGCAUUGGAAACUGUGUUGCUAGAGUGCAGGAGAGGUAAGUGGAAUUCCUAGUGUAGCGGUGAAAUGCGUAGAUAUUAGGAGGAACACCAGAGGCGAAGGCGGCUUACUGGACUGUAACUGACGUUGAGGCUCGAAAGCGUGGGGAGCAAACAGGAUUAGAUACCCUGGUA
rnacentral:rRNA from 1 species